AUGGUGGCGGCGUGGCCGGAAUCGGUGCCGGAUCUGCGCUGGAGGCUGCAGCAGCGGCUUGCUCAGGGGAGCGCCAUGGUGGGCGCGUGCAUCCGCGUGGGCGGCGUGGCGCGCCGGUCUCUCCCCUGUAGGGCUUCGGGUUGCAGCAGUGGCACGGGUGGCUGCAUGGUGGUGUGCCUGCCCAAGCCCAUGGUGCCAGCAGUUUCUGGCAGCACCGAGGUUGAGGAUGGAUGGGAGAUGGAGUGGUGUGUCUCCGGCCAUGCAGGGGUUGGUUGGUGGUCGGAGUGCUCUCGGUCGUGCGAAGGGUCGGUGUCCCGCGGCGGUUUGAUCUCGAUGGCAAGGUGCAGCGGCAGCAAUGGUGUAACUGCGAAAGUUUGGCCCAAUCUAUUGAUAGAGGUGGGAGGUGUGCGGUGCGGAUGA
rnacentral:rRNA from 1 species